rnacentral:rRNA from 1 species
CGAAUUCGAGCUCGGUACCCGGGGAUCCUCUAGAGAUUAGAGUUUGAUCAUGGCUCAGGAUGAACGCUAGCGGCAGGCUAAUACAUGCAAGUCGAGGGGUAUGGGAGAGCUUGCUUUCCCUGAGACCGGCGCACGGGUGCGUAACGCGUAUGCAACCUACCCUUUUCUGGGGGAUAGCCCGAAGAAAUUCGGAUUAAUACCGCAUAAGACCACGACACGGCAUCGUGACGGGGUCAAACAUUUAUGGGAGAAGGAUGGGCAUGCGUGCCAUUAGCUAGUUGGCGGGGUAACGGCCCACCAAGGCUACGAUGGCUAGGGGAUCUGAGAGGAUGGCCCCCCACACUGGUACUGAGACACGGACCAGACUCCUACGGGAGGCAGCAGUAAGGAAUAUUGGUCAAUGGGCGCAAGCCUGAACCAGCCAUGCCGCGUGCAGGAAGACGGCCCUCCGGGUUGUAAACUGCUUUUGUACGGGAAUAAACCUUUCUUCGUGAAGGAAGCUGAAUGUACCGUAAGAAUAAGGAUCGGCUAACUCCGUGCCAGCAGCCGCGGUAAUACGGAGGAUCCAAGCGUUAUCCGGAUUUAUUGGGUUUAAAGGGUGCGUAGGCGGCCUGUUAAGUCAGGGGUGAAAGACGGUGGCUCAACCAUCGCAGUGCCCUUGAUACUGAUGGGCUUGAAUGGACUAGAGGUAGGCGGAAUGUGACAAGUAGCGGUGAAAUGCAUAGAUAUGUCACAGAACACCGAUUGCGAAGGCAGCUUACUAUGGUCCUAUUGACGCUGAGGCACGAAAGCGUGGGGAUCGAACAGGAUUAGAUACCCUGGUAGUCCACGCCCUAAACGAUGAACACUCGCUGUUGGCGAUACACGGUCAGCGGCUAAGCGAAAGCGUUAAGUGUUCCACCUGGGGAGUACGCCCGCAAGGGUGAAACUCAAAGGAAUUGACGGAAUCGUCGACCUGCAGGCAUGCAAGCUGCACUGCCGAUUU